rnacentral:misc_RNA from 1 species
GAUGAAGAACGUAGCGAAAUGCGAUAAGUAAUGUGAAUUGCAGAAUUCAGUGAAUCAUCGAAUCUUUGAACGCACAUUGCGCCCCUUGGUAUUCCGAGGGGCAUGCCUGUUCGAGCGUCAUUAUAACCCUCAAGCUCAGCUUGGUGUUGGGCCCCGCCGCCCCGGCGGGCCCUAAAGUCAGUGGCGGUGCCGUCCGGCUCCGAGCGUAGUAAUUCUUCUCGCUCUGGAGGUCCGGUCGUGUGCUCGCCAGCAACCCCCAAUUUUUUUCAGGUUGACCUCGGAUCAGGUAGGGAUACCCGCUGAACUUAAGCAUAUCAAUAAGCGGAGGA